CCCUUAGAUGUUCUGGGCUGCACACGUGCCACACUGGCAGGUUCAGCGAGCUUCAUGCCCUGAUCUGAACGGAAUGGGAAAUCUUUUCAAAACCUGCCGUGCUUGGGAUAGAUGUUUGCAAUUAUUCAUCUUCAACGAGGAUUGCCUUGUAAGCGCACGUCAUCAGCGUGCAUUGAAUACGACCCUGUAUUCUGUACACACCGCCCGUCGCUCCUACCGAUUGAGUGGUCCGGUGAGGCUUUGGGAUCUGAGCGGAAAGAGCGUUUCGCUGUUUCUGCUCGGAAAACUCAGUCGAACCUUAUCAUUUAGAGGAAGGAGAAGUCGUAACA
rnacentral:rRNA from 1 species